AGAGUUUGAUCCUGGCUCAGGAUUAACGCUGGCGGCAUGCCUAACACAUGCAAGUCGAACGAGAGUAGCAAUACUCUAGUGGCGAACGGGUGAGUAACACGUAGGAAACCUACCUCAAAGACGAGGAUAACUACUGGAAACGGUAGCUAAAACUGGAUAGGAUAUACAAAGGCAUCUUAGUAUAUUUAAAAGUCCUUCUGGGAAUGCUAUGAGAUGGUCCUGCGGCGCAUUAGCUAGUUGGUGAGGUAAAGGCCCACCAAGGCGACGAUGCGUAGCUGUGCUGAGAGGCAAAACAGCCACACUGGGACUGAGACACGGCCCAGACUCCUACGGGAGGCAGCAGUAGGGAAUCUUGCGCAAUGGGCGAAAGCCUGACCGAGCAAUGCCGCGUGAAUGAAGAAAUUCUUCGGAAUGUAAAAUUCUGUGGUGAGGGAAGAAAGGUAUUAGAAGGAAAUGGCUAAUAUUUGACGGUACCUUACUAGAAAGCCCCGGCUAACUAUGUGCCAGCAGCCGCGGUAAUACAUAGGGGGCAAGCGUUAUCCGGAAUUAUUGGGCGUAAAGCGUGCGUAGGCGGCCACUUAAGUCUGUCGUGAAAGCCCACAGCUUAACUGUGGAGGGUCGAUGGAAACUGAGAGGCUUGAAUCUAGGAGAGGUAAGUGGAAUUCCAUGUGUAGCGGUAAAAUGCUUAGAUAUAUGGAGGAACACCAGUGGCGAAGGCGGCUUACUGGUCUAGAAUUGACGCUGAUGCACGAAAGCGUGGGUAGCAAACAGGAUUAGAUACCCUGGUAGUCCACGCCGUAAACGAUGAGCACUAAGU
rnacentral:rRNA from 1 species